rnacentral:misc_RNA from 1 species
GAUGAAGAACGCAGCAAAAUGCGAUAAGUAAUGUGAAUUGCAGAAUUCAGUGAAUCAUCGAAUCUUUGAACGCACAUUGCGCCCGCCAGCACUCUGGCGGGCAUGCCUGUUCGAGCGUCAUUUCAACCAUCAAGCCCCCAGGGGCUUGUGCUGGGGCCCUGCGGCUGCCCGCAGGCCCUGAAAACCAGUGGCGGGCUCGCUAGUCACACCGAGCGCAGUAGCACAUCUCGCUCAGGGCGUGCGGCGGGCUCCUGCCGUGAAACCCCCCACUGUAACCCCAAAGGUUGACCUCGGAUCAGGUAGGAAUACCCGCUGAACUUAAGCAUAUCAAUAACGGAGGA